GCUGCAUGGCUGUCGUCAGCUCGUGUCGUGAGAUGUUCGUUAAGUCCGCUAACGAGCGCAACCCUCGUCGUGUGUUAUACGUGUCACACGAUACUGCCGGUAUCAAGCCGGAGGAAGGUGGGGAUGAUGUCAAGUCAGCAUGGCCUUUAUAUCCUGGGCUACACACACGCUACAAUGGCAGAUACAAUAGGUUGCGAAACCGCGAGGUGGAGCCAAUCCUCAAAGUCUGUCUCAGUUCAGAUUGUAGGCUGCAACUCGCCUGCAUGAAGUUGGAGUUGCUAGUAAACGCAGGUCAGCUAUACUGCGUUAAAUACGUUCCCGGGGUUU
rnacentral:rRNA from 1 species